UACGUAGGGUGCGAGCGUUAAUCGGAAUUACUGGGCGUAAAGCGUGCGCAGGCGGUGAUGUAAGACAGUUGUGAAAUCCCCGGGCUCAACCUGGGAACUGCAUCUGUGACUGCAUCGCUGGAGUGCGGCAGAGGGGGAUGGAAUUCCGCGUGUAGCAGUGAAAUGCGUAGAGAUGUGGAGGAAUACCGAUGGCGAAGGCAGCCUCCUGGGCCAACACUGACGCUCAUGCACGAAAGCGUGGGGAGCAAACAGG
rnacentral:rRNA from 1 species